ACGAACGCUGGCGGCGUGCCUAAUACAUGCAAGUAGAACGCACAGUUUAUACCGUAGCUUGCUACACCAUAGACUGUGAGUUGCGAACGGGUGAGUAACGCGUAGGUAACCUGCCUGGUAGCGGGGGAUAACUAUUGGAAACGAUAGCUAAUACCGCAUAAUAUUGAUUAUUGCAUGAUAAUUGAUUGAAAGAUGCUAUUGCAUCACUACCAGAUGGACCUGCGUUGUAUUAGCUAGUAGGUGAGGUAACGGCUCACCUAGGCGACGAUACAUAGCCGACCUGAGAGGGUGAUCGGCCACACUGGGACUGGGACACGGCCCAGACUCCUACGGGAGGCAGCAGUAGGGAAUCUUCGGCAAUGGACGAAAGUCUGACCGAGCAACGCCGCGUGAGUGAAGAAGGUUUUCGGAUCGUAAAGCUCUGUUGUAAGAGAAGAACGGGUGUGAGAGUGGAAAGUUCACACUGUGACGGUAUCUUACCAGAAAGGGACGGCUAACUACGUG
rnacentral:rRNA from 1 species